GCCGUAUCAAGUUGAAACACCGAUUCUUGUACGGUCAGGGAAGUUAAGCAAUGUUGAUCCCAGUCAGUACCUAGAUGGGUUACCACUUGAGAAUGCCAGGUGUUGCAAGC